GCCCUAAUAGCUUAACUUUUAAAGCAUUGGUCUUGUAAACCAAAGAUUGAAAACUCAAAAAUUUUCUUAGAGCU
rnacentral:tRNA from 1 species